UUACCGAGUGCGGGCCCCUCGGGGCCCAACCUCCCACCCGUGUUGCCCGAACCUAUGUUGCCUCGGCGGGCCCCGCGCCCGCCGACGGCCCCCCUGAACGCUGUCUGAAGUUGCAGUCUGAGACCUAUAACGAAAUUAGUUAAAACUUUCAACAACGGAUCUCUUGGUUCCGGCAUCGAUGAAGAACGCAGCGAAAUGCGAUAACUAAUGUGAAUUGCAGAAUUCAGUGAAUCAUCGAGUCUUUGAACGCACAUUGCGCCCUCUGGUAUUCCGGAGGGCAUGCCUGUCCGAGCGUCAUUGCUGCCCUCAAGCCCGGCUUGUGUGUUGGGCCCCGUCCCCCCCGCCGGGGGGACGGGCCCGAAAGGCAGCGGCGGCACCGCGUCCGGUCCUCGAGCGUAUGGGGCUUCGUCACCCGCUCUAGUAGGCCCGGCCGGCGCCAGCCGACCCCCAACCUUUAAUUAUCUCAGGUUGACCUCGGAUCAGGUAGGGAUACCCGCUGAACUUAAGCAUAUCAAUAAGCGGAGGAAAAGAAACCAACCGGGAUUGCCCUAGUAACGGCGAGUGAAGCGGCAAGAGCUCAAAUUUGAAAGCUGGCCCCCUCGGGGUCCGCAUUGUAAUUUGCAGAGGAUGCUUCGGGAACGGCCCCCAUCUAAGUGCCCUGGAACGGGCCGUCAUAGAGGGUGAGAAUCCCGUCUGGGAUGGGGUGGCCGCGCCCGUGUGAAGCUCCUUCGACGAGUCGAGUUGUUUGGGAAUGCAGCUCUAAUUGGGUGGUAAAUUUCAUCUAAAGCUAAAUAUUGGCCGGAGACCGAUAGCGCACAAGUAGAGUGAUCGAAAGAUGAAAAGCACUUUGAAAAGAGAGUUAAACAGCACGUGAAAUUGUUGAAAGGGAAGCGCUUGCGACCAGACUCGCCCGCGGGGUUCAGCCGGCACUCGUGCCGGUGUACUUCCCCGCGGGCGGGCCAGCGUCGGUUUGGGCGGCCGGUCAAAGGCCUCUGGAAG
rnacentral:rRNA from 1 species